rnacentral:rRNA from 1 species
GACGGGUGAGUAACGCGUGGGAAUCUAUCCUUUGCUACGGAACAACUCCGGGAAACUGGAGCUAAUACCGUAUGUGCCCUUCGGGGGAAAGUUUUAACGGCAAAGGGUGAGCCCGCGUCCGAUUAGCUAGUUGGUGGGGUAAAGGCCCACCAAGGCGACGAUCCUUAGCUGGUCUGAGAGGAUGAUCAGCCACACUGGGACUGAGACACGGCCCAGACUCCUACGGGAGGCAGCAGUGGGGAAUAUUGGACAAUGGGCGAAAGCCUGAUCCAGCAAUGCCGCGUGAGUGAUGAAGGCCUUAGGGUUGUAAAGCUCUUUUACCCGGGAUGAUAAUGACAGUACCGGGAGAAUAAGCUCCGGCUAACUCCGUGCCAGCAGCCGCGGUAAU